rnacentral:rRNA from 1 species
AUUGAACGCUGGCGGCAUGCCUUACACAUGCAAGUCGAACGGCAGCACGGGAGCAAUCCUGGUGGCGAGUGGCGAACGGGUGAGUAAAGUAUCGGAACGUGCCCAGUCGUGGGGGAUAACGUAGCGAAAGUUACGCUAAUACCGCAUACGAUCUAUGGAUGAAAGCGGGGGAUCGCAAGACCUCGCGCGAUUGGAGCGGCCGAUAUCAGAUUAGGUAGUUGGUGGGGUAAAGGCCCACCAAGCCAACGAUCUGUAGCUGGUCUGAGAGGACGACCAGCCAAACUGGAACUGGAACACGGUCCAGACUCCUACGGGAGGCAGCAGUGGGGAAUUUUGGACAAGGGGCGAAAGCCUGAUCCAGCCAUUCCGCGUGCAGGAUGAAGGCCCUCGGGUUGUAAACUGCUUUUGUACAGAACGAAAAGGUUUCUACUAAUACUAGGAGCUCAUGACGGUACUGUAAGAAUAAGCACCGGCUAACUACGUGCCAGCCGCCGCGGUAA